rnacentral:rRNA from 1 species
GUCUAUGGCCAUGCCACCCUGUAUGUGCCCGAUCUCGUCUGAUCUCGGAAGCUAAGCAGGGUCGGGCCUGGUUAGUACUUGCAUGGGAGACCACCUAGGGGUACCAGGUGCUGUAGGUA